rnacentral:rRNA from 1 species
GAAAUGCGWUACGUAAUGUGAAUUGCAGAAUUCAGUGAAUCAUCGAAUCUUUGAACGCACCUUGCGCCCCUUGGCAUUCCGAGGGGCACACCCGUUUGAGUGUCGUGACAUUCUCAAAAAGAACCCUUCUCGGUCUUGCGAUCGGGAAAGGCCUCUUUUUGGACUUUGGAGGUUAUUGCUGGUCCCCCCUUGAUAGCCAGCUCCUCUUAAAUGAAUUAGUAGGGACCACUUUGCCGACCCUAGACGUGAUAAGAUGUUUCUGCGUCUCGGGUAUUCGCUCUGUCCUUUGGAAACCUGCUUCUAACCGUCUUGUCAAAAGACAGCUUUCGAGCCUUUCUCGUUGAUCGGGCAAGGCUUGACUUGACGAACCUUGACCUCAAAUCGGGUGAGACUACCCGCUGAACUUAA